CUUUGUCGGUUGGUCUGACUUUAUAUUAAUCCAUAUCUGCGGCAUCGCAUCAAACUGUUGAACUUUGGGGAAAAAACACGGAAUUCAAACCUUGUGCCAGAGAAUCCAUGAGGCAGUUCAGAAGAUGGUGGCAAGUAAAUGCGAGGUCUCACUCAAACCCUGACAAUUAGAACCAACAAUUAAUUGGAGAGAAUAAUGAUCAUAGAACUUGAUAGUAAGGUUAUUUGAUAACAGUUAUUCCACAUACACUAAAGAGAUAUUCUAUGAGGUAGCGACAUUCGCGAUCGAAAGGAAUUUUUCUUGACAGACGCU